AGUGUGUGUCUGAAAAAACGGGGAGAA
rnacentral:piRNA from 1 species